UUGGGGUCGCCAUGGAAACAGAAACGAGUACUGCUUACGCUGCUCUGACAUCUUCGUAUCAUGCAAGUUUAUUAACAUUGCAUGUCUAUUUUCAUCGUUUCUGGUGAAAACAGGCCUCUGAAUUACUGCGAGAUUUUGAAUCCGGACCAGCAGUGUUGACAGACAGAAAAUGGCCGGAUGAAGGAGAUGGAAACAGGAACCGGGAAGUGAGCACAAGACAGGUCUCAAACUCAGGUCUCACAAAGUGCUACAGAGCAACAUUACAAAAAACCAAAAAAUAUUAAAACACCAUGCUUCCAUGAAAGGAAAGUAAAGUGCAUCUCACUACAAAUGAAACUAAAAUGGUUGGUUUUUCAGAUCAGGGUUCCAGAUGCCACACUGGUAGGAUCCUCGGAGAACAGCUAGGAACCCUUCAGGUUCAUACUUUUUGUUCCUUCAAAACUUCUUAUAUUGUCAACCAUUCCUUCAGUAUGCUCAUCGUGUCUCCAAAGUGAAACGUCUAUGCACUUAAACCAUAUAUUUACUAUAAGUGUAUAAAUAAAAAUAUACAGUAUGUUAUAAAACGGAUAUCAGAGGAAGCUGACUAAUUCUGGCCAAUGUGUAAAUACUAACUUUUAUUCCACUUGUAGAACCGAAGCACCACCCAGUAGAUCCAUGUGUUUUCAGAAUAAAAUAUAUAUUCACAGUG